CAUUGUUUUGUUUUGCCCUUCUAUUCCAUAGACAAGGUAGGAAAAGGCUGCCAUUACUGAAUAUAUUCAAUACUACCCUGAGAGAAGAAAUGAGGUUCUCAUGGGAAAAAAGUCAAAUAUAUGAUUGUUGCUUAAUUUAAGCUUGGUGGUCAUUUUCAUAGCCAGUAUAAACUGACAGAGCCUCAGUAUUUCAAACAGACUGUACCUUUUUUUUUUUUUCCAAGACCUCUAAUGAUAUCGGAAGCUAACUCUGCCAUGGAAAAGGAGAACUUUCACACAGAAAACUAACAAAGAAAUUCUGGACUUAAACUUGACACUUGCCCAGUUGGUCUUAAUAGACAUCUAAAGAAUACUCCACCCAACAACUACAGAAUAUAUAUUCGUCUCAUCUGCAGACACAACAUACUUUAAAAAUGACUGCAUGUUUGGUCAGAGAGUCUCAACAAAUUUGGAAAAAUUAAAAUUAUACCCAACAUAUUCUCAGGUCGAAUGAAAUGCAAAUAGAAAUUACUGCCAAGAGGAAUUCUCAAAACCACACAAAUACGUGGAAAUUAAACACAUUGAUCCUGAAUGACCUUUGUAAAGCAAGAAAAUUAAGGCAAAAAUCAAAAAAUUAUUUGAAAAAAACAAAAAUUGUGACACAGUGUAACAAAACCUGUGAUAUUGCAAAAGAAGUGAUAAGAUUUGUAGCACUAAAUGCCUACAUCAAGAAAAUAGAAAUAUCUUGUUAACAACCUAACAUUACACCUAAAGAAAUAGAGAAAGAAGAACUAAAUUCUAAAUGAAGAACCCAGUUCUAGCAGAAGAAAAGAAAGAAUUAAAAUCAGAACAGAACUAAGUGAAAUUGAGAUAAAGAAAACUAUUCAAAGGAUCAACAAAAUGAAAAGUUUGUUUUUUGAAAGGAUAAACAAAAUUGAUAGACUGCUAGAUAAACAAAGGAAAAAAAGAAGAUCCAAAUAAGCACAAUCAGAUAUGACAAAGGUAACAUUACAACUGAUCUCGCAGAAAUAUAAAAGAUCCUCAGAGAUUACUAUGAACAUCUCUAUGCACACAACUAGAAAAUCUAGAGGAAAUAGAUAAAUUCCUGGAAAUAUACAACCUCCCAAGAUUGAAUCUGGAAGAAAAAGACACCCUAAAGAGACCAGUAAUGAGUUACAAAAUUGAAUAAGUAAUAAUAAAAAACUUACUAACCAGAAAA